AUUCAUGUUUGAAAGUUGUUCAGCAAAUCCUACUAGAACAACAUCCAUAUAACAUGCACAUCAUAACAUCCAAAACAAAGUAUAUUCACAAAAACGGCUAACAUUUUUUGUCUCUGGUUCCGGUGCUUGCGGAAGCAAAUGCCAUGUCUUGCUUAUCGCGAGACAAAAGCAUAGCUCACCUACAGUGUCUCGCGAAGUGGUCUGGCCCAACAACAUACCCAAAUGGUUUUUGUGAAUCUUCCAUGAACCGUUUUGAAAUCCUUCCAUGGCCGGUUUUAGAAACCACCCAUCUAGUUUUACAAAGGUUUCGUUCAUUUUUUCUGUUAGUUUUUUUUUACAUUUUUUAGAUAUGUGUUGACCUAUUUUAAAUACACAUUGACCAUUUUAUGCAUAUAGGUUGAACAUUUUCCAGAUACACGUUGAACCAUUUUCAAAUACCGCCAAUUUUAUCCACGGGUGCCGCCAAAGUGCAUCUGUACGUCUAAUCACCUCGCUCAGGAUUUGAGGAAAACUGCUAUUUUUUUACAAAUUCGUGCGAAGUGAGGGAAAAGCUGCUACUUUUUUUUUUAAAAUGGAAAAGCUGCCACUUUAGUGCUACUAGCAAAAUACAUGUGCAUUGCAACGGGGUACAUAUUAUUAUUACGGUUCAACGUAUAAUUUCUUGAUUUAUCGCUGCACAUUUCAAGUUUGUAUGGAAAGAAUUAUUGCAUCUUUGAAAGUUGUACGGGUUCAGAUGCUUGCGGAGCCCGUAUUUGUUCCGCACCCGGAAAAACAUGUCUUGCGGCCCAUAGCAGCAGACUGGCCCAUCGCUGUAGGGCCCAUUAGGGUUUUGCUGCGCGAAGGCAGCGGCGCGCGUCGCUAUAAAUAGCAGUCGCCUCUCCCCCUGUUUACCUCAUCACCGCCGCCGCCUCCUUCGCUCGUCCUCGGCACCCGGCUGAUUCGCUUCUUCGUCCUCGUUGUUUUUUCUCUCUCGAUUUGUUUUGCUGUUCUUCGUCUAAUCCCCAUUUUUCGAUUUGUUGGUGCUUCGUCAUCUGGUCAUUGGGAUGAACAGUCUCUCGAGUCUGAUCGGUUCCCAAUGGACUCGUUCCCUUGAAGCAACAUCGUCCCGUUGUAUCCCGAGUUCGCCCCUCUCGUGUGCCCUCCGAGCUUCUCUCCCAGGGCACCGGCGGCUCUUACAUACAUUUAAAAAGUUCACAUCGCUCUCUUGUUUCUCUCUUUCGAUAUAUCUUGAUUUCGACAACUGUGAUGAGCCAAUUUUGCAGUUACAGACCUGUAAUGACUCCUGCGGAAAUGAUCGCAUGGUCAAAGAACAUCUAAGGGACUGAGUUGUCUUGGAAAUCAUCAUGAUUCCUAGUAUACUAUAUAUUGGAUCUUUCUUUGCUGCGUGUUUUGAUCUGCUGCUUCUCUUAACAGUAUUCGUGUCUGUGAACUAAUUUGUAUGGUUCCCGGGCAGUGACGAGACGGGAAGCAGAAAACAAUUGUUCCUCUCGCUAUCCAGUGCGGAAAUUUUGUGAUGCGAUUGGACGUCGAGGAACUACACUGCCUUAUUUGCUGGAUUAUUUAUGUUUGGCAUUUGUUUGUUUAUAAAAUGUUUAUCUUUUUUUUCCACGUAGUCUGAGAAUUGAAUGACCAGAUCAAAUCGAUGGUAGAACGAAUGAACAAAUGGAAUCAUGUGGACGAAGGAUUUGCACAGGCGUUAUGGAAUGUUAUAUGCGGCUGAACUUGAUUUGCUCGGUCUCCUAGCCAGACAGAUGUUCUGCAAGCGCUGCAUCGACUAAAAUGUCCGCCAUAGAGCUCUUCCGGCUAUUGGUAGUGCGGGGAGGUGGCAGUGCGGCGGUAGUGCGGUGGUCGGUGGCGGGCAAGUGAAGCGGGCCUGAGUGCGGUGUGGUCCUGCUGAAGGUGCGGCAAUCGUCGUUGGCUGGCUUGGGAAGGGGAGGCAGCCUAAAGAUUGAUUGGACACUCAUAUAUCGCAUUUUCUUUCAAAUAGUCCUUUUCAAUUGUGCAUGCCAUAGUUUGAGUGAUGUUUCUUCAAACAACCAUUGUAUUUAUCAUCUAAAUGUACCAUUGUUAGUUUUGCAUUCAAAUUCAUUAGUCUUGGAUGAUUUAUGGUUCUAUUAUGAAGUAAUAUGUGUAAUAUUCAUAUAUGAAUUCAACGGGUACGCAUUUUAUGAAAUGGAGGCAAUGUAAUCAUACGAGGUAACACUUUUAA